rnacentral:sRNA from 1 species
GAUGCUGCCUGGGGUGGGGACUUGUGUGUCCCUGUGAGUUCUAGGGACAGGAAGAUGGUUGGCGACGUGACCGGGGCCCA